GGAUGAAGUGACUUGCCCAGGAUCACACAGCUGUCUGAGGCUAAAUUUGAACUCCAGAACACAAGUCUUGCUGAUUCCGACUCUGUGCAUUAUGGCAUCCCUAGCUGCCCAGAACCUGGGCCGGUGCUUCAGACACAGUCGACCAUCAAGGAACGUUUGCUCAAGUGUUGAAAUUGGACUUCACGACGUGGGGCCUUGUGGGCAUUUUUCCCCAACAAGCAUUUCUUAGAUUUUACCACAUUCAGCUCUAGCAGUCACAUGGCCCAAGGCUGCCAUGUUGUCGGGAUGGGAACUCUAUCAAGGGAAAACUGAAGGAAGAAAGAUGAAGGAGCUUGCUCUCCUUUUGCCCUAACUCUUGUGGCCACCAUGGGAUGUCCUUAAGGAUCCCCCAGGGACUUUGGCUCAUGCUCCAAGUGUUUCAGUGGCAAGCCAUCCAUGCCCUAGAAACUUUGUGGAGAGCUCGGACGCCAUAUGCUCUGUGGAGUUCAGCUCCAAUAAAACAGUUUUUGAAAUUAAAUGUAAAAAGUAGACUUGGGUAAAUCGGAAACAAUAACCAACACUGGGCGGUCAGGACUUUGUCCACGGGAGCUCACAUCCUGGGCAGGGGGGAGGCGGACACUUUUCCUCCCCCAGGGGAUCUGUGGCCAUGCCCCUGGGUACGUGGCAGUAACUCCUUUCUUUCUACCUCUUCCCAGGUUGGGGUGGGGGGCUGUGGAGCAGGGACACGGGCUACACUACCUCCUCACGAGACAUAAACUGCCCACAGUAUUGUGUCUCCCCUGGUGCAGCAGAUGAGAGGAUAAUAAUAAGAGAUUCACAAGAAAAUGCCAGCAGUGAUUAUGUUUCCUCCUUGUUUUUAUUUAUUGUGCCCAGCUCUUACUUUGCUCCUCUUUUCUCUGCCAAGGAUUAUGAUCUUUGGACUAAGAAGGAAAGAGUAAAAAUAUCUAACAGGGUGUUUAAAGCCCAAUAAGUGAGGGCAGAGUAAAAGAACAGUCAGAUCUCCUCUCCGAAUUAAAGAUUCACCGGCCUGGGAACCAGAGUGGAUUCAUCCUGCCAGACCAGCCUCCCUUCUCUCUGCCCCCAACUCCUUCUUGGAUAGGGUUUCUAGUCUGGUGAAUAGAGAGAGUGGAUGGAAAAUACCUGGGUUUUAAGGAGGCAUUUGACUCGGAGUGUCCGGCUACACCUGUGGAGGAGCGGAAGAGAUAUGGGUGGCCCACCAAGAGAAUUUUAGAUUUUCUAUCACCCACUAUCCCUCUCCCCUCGGAGGACAGGGAGAAGUUUGCUUUGUCCAUGGAUCUCUGGGGCCUAGAACUUAUUCCUAGAUGCUCAUUCCAAGCUGCAUGAUGGGUAUAGCCUGUGAUUUUAUUUAUGUAGGAAACUCUUAGUGAGAAAGCUCCCUCUUUCAAUGUUUAGUCUUAGAGAAUUGUCUGGGGCCCAAGGGGAAGG